CGCCAAAAUAAAUGUCCUGACCGAGAGGUUCAGUGCGCGAACGCCCCUGUGUGUUUUACAGGGGAAAACGAGAUGCUCGGGGUGGGUGAAGUCCAGAGAGGUCGCCCCUCAUCCCCCAUGGAUUCUCCUCUGCAUCUCUGCGGCUGCGAAACCCGCAUGUUGCGUGUCAAGCAUUUUUUUACAGGCUGGGAAAUUAAAGCAGAGCCAGUGAGCUGCACUGACAGGUGGCACCUGUUAUUCCUAAGUGACCUUAAUCACUUUUUUGGAUUGACAGAUCAAAUUUGCCAUCAACUCUGCCACUUCCCAACCAAAACUGGUAGGAAACAUACUAAGACAGAAAAAGAGAUAAUUACGGCAAGAAGUAUUUUCUGUCUGGUGAGUUGGUUUAUUUUAAUCUUUUGCACUAUAAAUUUUUUCCAAAACCUUCAAGUGGAAAAUGCAGAUGUAAACAGAAUGGUGGUACUCCACAGAGCACAACUUGCACAGUUUCAGGAGAAAAAGUAGUUUCAAGAAUUAAAUUCAGGUGACUUUUUAAAAAUUGCACUUCAAAGUUGUGAGGAGAAGGGGGCUGCACAGAGAUUGGAGGAAGCCUCAAAGUGUUUGUGGGGAGGUC
rnacentral:lncRNA from 1 species